UACUCACUUCCCUGUCUGUCUAACUGUUAUUUUUUUAGCUUGUAAUGCGACAAUAUUCAAGAUUUUUCAUUUCGUCUCAAAUGAUUCUCUUGCAUCGUGGAAUGUCUACACUGGUGUUCAUAUUUUUGUUGUUUGCACCAGCUGCUUCUGAGAAUGAAGUCACUGGGAUUAUAGGAGAGACUGUUCUCCUGUCCUGUGACCUGAAUUCAUCCACGGCCAUCGACACAGCAAGACUCCGGUUCCAUUGGCAAGAUAAGUCCGAAAAAGUGUUGUACUCGUUCAACAAAGGAGAAGAGAAUAAACAUCAGGAUAACCUUUACACAAACAGAACUAAAGCCUUUGGGUCUGAGAUGAGUUCUGGGAAUAUCUCUAUCAAACUCAGCCAAGUAACACUUGAAGACAAGCAGAACGUCUACUGGGCUUUCGCGUUUGAUGGGAAUGAUAAGCCUAUCCCCAAGUUGAUAAAAUGGUGUCCCACUACCCUACAUGUGGCAGCACGGUUCCCAACACCCAGUGUGACUGUGAACAAGACAAAUAUGAAUACCGCAGACCCUUCAGGUGAAGUUCAGAAAGGCUUUACUCCUGCCAUUAUUGGAGGCAUUAUAACAAUAUUUAUUGUGAUUUGCCUCGGGCGGAUAUUUAUUGUGUACAAAAAAUGUAAGUUACAAUUUCCGAUGUUUUACUUUCUGUAAUGAAAUCAGAUUCAAUACUGUAUAAACUUGUCUCAGUCUGUAAUUACUCUGUCAGUGCCAAAUCUAAGGAUUUGUUCUCCAUUUACAUUCAAAUACUAUAUUUUUUCACAUUUGAGGAGUGACCAGUAUGUGAAAAUCAGCUGGCCCUAUAUACAUUUUAUUCAGUAGUUAGAUGGGCUGCAGUGUAUUUUUAAUUGUGACUAAAACACUGGUCCAUGUUGAUCUGGUUAAUUAUGACUAAAAACACUGAUCCAUGUUGAUCUGGUGAAUUAUGACUAAAAACACUGGUCCAUGUUGAUCUGGUUAAUUAUGACUAAUAACACUGGUCCAUGUUGAUCUGGUUAGUUAUGACUAAAAACACUGAUCCAUGUUGAUUGAGGUUGUGGAGACAGAGGUGGUGCCACGGGAGCCAGCAGUGGUGCUACAGGGCCAACAGAUUUUCCACAGGAGCCAGAGGUGGUGCUACAGGAGCCAGAGGUGGUGCUACAGGUGCCAGAGCUGGUGCUACAGGAGACAGAGGUGGUGCAACAGGAGACAGCGGUGGUGCUACAGGAGGUGAUGAAGAGCAGAGCAUUCUAAUGGGUCUCACAACAAGCCAGCCUCGGGGCAAUAGUAGUGUAGAUCAAGUUGAUUUAGCCACAGUUAGCAACGCUAACGGUGCUGCAGCAAAAAAACACAGCUGAUUGUGUAACAAAACCAUUGCAUGAAAUUGUAAACAUUUAUUUAUUCAUUUUAUUUAACCAGGAAGGGCUCAUUGAGAUUUAAAAUCU